UGGUAUGCUUAUCAGCCUGGGUUC
rnacentral:piRNA from 1 species